ACCUGUACCCCCACCCCCACCAUCUCACCACAGCCCCUAUUUUGUCACGAAGUCUCCAGUAUCUGAAUUGUUAAUGUGAAAGUCUGAGGAGACGCCUCCAGCCCUGUUGGGAAUCUGAGCCCUCAGGGGUGAUGGGGGUGAUAGCAGUCAGGAUGAGCAAGAUCAUGCUGGGGAAAUAAACAUCCCCCCAAUUCUCAAGCUAGUUCUCUCUCUCUCUCAAUCUCUUUACUUUCUCUAUCUUCCUGUUCUUCAGAGUCACAUAAGACCCCUGGUUUCCUCUUACCAUGUGCUUCUGUAACACCUCAGCAUAGGGAGCAAGCAUGUUAAAUUGUACACUGGCUUUUAAAGCUUCCACCAAAAGUGACACAUAUCAUACAAGCUCACAGUUUGUUGGCCAAACGAAGUCACAUGGCCCCUCUUAGAAUAGGGUGGGGAAGUAUAAUAUUCUCUCUGGAAGACAAGAGAUGCUUAUCGAGAGCACCCAUGACUUCCACAGCUAUUAGUAGUGUGAGGAGUGGGGGUUCAUCCCAUGGUCCUGUGUCAUACUGCCACACACUUGUCUUCAUGGAGGACUGACUUAAUUCAACAAGAGGCUGAACCAAGGAAACCCAAACAAAGAAGUCAAGAAGGCGCACUGGGUGCAGUUCCAUCACUGAGUGUUCUAUGCUGGCAAGAGAUGGAGAAGAUGAGGAAUAGAGACUUUGGGAACAACUGGUUCAAGACCACAGGUCUAACACUAGGAAUAACAACGUGAAGAGGGAGCAAGAGAGUGGCCAUCUGAAAGCCAAGAAGUCAAGCCUCAGAGGAAAUCCACCCUGUUAUCACCUUAAUCUUGAACUUGCAGCAUCUAGAACUGUGGGAAAAUAAAUUUCUGUUGUUG